rnacentral:rRNA from 1 species
UACGUAGGUGGCAAGCGUUGUCCGGAUUUAUUGGGUUUAAAGGGUGCGUAGGCGGCUUAUUAAGUCAGUGGUGAAAUACUCUAGCUCAACUAGAGGGGUGCCAUUGAUACUGAUGAGCUUGAGUACAGAUGAGGUAGGCGGAAUUGACGGUGUAGCGGUGAAAUGCGUAGAUAUCGGGAGGAACACCGGUGGCGAAGGCGGCCUUCUGGACGGAUACUGACGCUGAGACGCGAAAGCGUGGGGAGCAAACAGG